CAACAGAAAUUUAUUUUCUCACAUUUCUGGAGGCUGGAAGUCCAAGAUCAAAGUGUUGGCAGGUUUGGUUUUUCCUGAGGCCUCACUCCCUUGGCUUGCAGACGGCCACCUUCUCACAGUGUCCCCACAUAGCCUUUU
rnacentral:miRNA from 1 species